CAGACACUGGACAUACCAGAGGAUGAAGAAGACAUACAUGGCCAUUGCCUCCCACCCCAUAGGGGCAAACAAGGUGGAACAGACUUGAACAUGAGGAAUCGUUGCUGAAUCUGUGCUUUUUAUGAACAUCUCUCUCUGCGGUUGCAAGCAUUUUGAAGAGACUGAAUGGACGAACCGUCUUGAAAGGACAACCUACUGUGAUUCCUAAUCCAAGUACAGCCUCAGCGGGCAUAGCGCGGAAAAGAGAGAGGCUCUUCCAGCUUUUCGUGGAUCAUCGUUCAAGCAUUAAAAAACCCGGAGUGUGUUCCUUCCAUGUGAAGCACUCCAUUAAUGUUAAUGAAAGCCACAAAUUUACCUCAAAGCCAGAAAGACGCCUCACUCUCCCUGCAGGAAUCCUAGACGAUAAGGAAAGAGCUGGCCUCCUUUCCCGUUUGUAGCAAGGCAGGCUGGAAUCACCGGGCCUGGGAUGUAUUGAAAAUUGAAAAUGAACUCUCCAUUGGUUGAUGCUAGGAAAAUCCCAGUCUCAGAGCACACAAGUGCUUCAGCCUCUGCUCAGUGCUGUUCAGAUUUGUCUUUUCUUUUUUUUUUCUACCUUGAAAGGAAUACAAAAACCAUUUUGAGUUUUAAAAGUUAAAACAGAUUAAAACAAUUUUAUAACUAACUCAAAUCCAGAGACUUUAGAGGCUGGACUUUGAGGAUAGGAGAGGAGAUGAAACAGACAGAACACGUGAACGACAGAAAAAAUGGUUCUAUUCCUCACUUUUUUUCUAUUUCUCACUUUUGAAGGAAGCAUAUUCUGUCAUUCAGAUUGUGCCCAACUGCUUCUGCCUGCUGGGUUGGAUGCACUCAAAAUGCUUUAUUUUCAAAGUAUUAGUGAGAUCAGCUGCUAAAUCCUUGUCACCAACAGUGAUAGGAAUCCACUGACAUUAAGGAGAGUCUGGGAGCAAAGAUGACCAUUUUGUUCCAGAUUUCCACGUCAAUCUAUAUGUCAACCAAAAAACUGAAGAACACCUAACUGAAGCUGCCCCCUACCAAGGCACCUGCUGCUGACUCAUCCCCUUCCCCUUCCUGCUACAGUUUCACCUCUCCCUACCCACAAAAGAAAAAUCCUGUACAACCCAGCCAGCUGUGACAAGAAACCACAGCAGUCCAGCAGCUCAUCCACCCCAAUAAAUUUCUUCUUUUCUUGCCUCAGA